AUCGGAAGAAGCUGUUGAACACAUGGUUGAUAUUUGUUGACACUCUUGAGUGAAAUUCAAAAAAAGCAUCCAUAAACGUUAUUUUUUUACAAUCCUGUCAGAGUUCUCCCUUCCCGCUUUUUGCAUGGAAGUGAACUGUCAAAACACCUCAUCAUAUUUCAUGUGACGAAAGCAAGACAACAAAAUCAGUUUAUCAGUUAACGAAGAUUGUCAAGGCAUCGGUCAGUGUCAGUGAAAAAGUGUUUCGGUGAGGUUCAUUUCGGUUGAGUGGACUGUUUGUUUUUCUUUUUCGCUUUGAAGUGAAGACCAUUUGGUUGGAUUUGUCGUCAAAUUUUAUUCCGUAACCGUGAACGAUGCGCGCGAUCUAUUUCAUAUGAGUAUAACAGCACGUUACUAGGACGAAAAUCUAGUGUAUCUGAAAGAGCGCUGCGAUCAUUGGAAGUGAAAAUUGAAAAUGAUUGGCUGUAAUUUUCGAAGAAUUUUGCUGAGGAAAAUGACUUUUAUCAGCACUGGUUGAACAUAAUCGACAAAAAAUGGCAAAAAAAGAUAAAAGUCAAAGCAACGAGAUGCGAUGAUUAUCAGUUUGGAAGAAACAAAUGCUUCACACUGGUUUACACGUUUACUAGUAUGCGUAGGUGAAAAGUCACUUAUCUCUAUGGGCUAGCUGUCAAAUUGCCGCAAACGCAGCCGCAACAUACUCUGAAACAAAUGUUGUAGUAACAAUAAACAUAAAACUGUUGUCAUAACUACUAUUAUUCAAAAUUGUCAUUAUAAAACAUAAUUAUGUUACAAAUACAGUAAAUACAAUUGAAAUUACUAUGUCCGCCGCGAUUUUGUCGUUGUGUUCUUCACAACUUUUUGUAUUAAAAAUGACAACUUUUCUGCAGUGGAACUUACUGUAUCAUGCAUUCUAAUCAAACAUAUUUUUGUCAGUGUAACCGAUUGCAUAGUAAAAAUGAGCACAUAUCAAUGAUAAUUUGGCCCACAGUUUUUCUGACAGCUAAGAAGACCGGUAACGGACGGUAACCGAAAUCAUUUGUGUUUUCCAAGUUAACCGAUGCGGUUUUUGUUUUGUUGCGUCACUUCGUUAUUUUCAAUAAUGUGCGAAGGUGAGAAUAAAGUGAAAAUAAUAAUUGACGAUAUUUCGGCGUAUCCUUUAUUGAUUAAUGAGCAUAAUGAAAUUCGUGAGUUUCGCGAUCUCUUCGGGAAUGAAUGGAAAAUUCAAUCCUAAUCGGUAAGUUCCUGGUUACUCUUCAUGUACUUCUCUGUUUGUUUUAUAGUUUGGCUGCUGACUGGAGCACAAAUCUAAUAAGCGAACAGCUGCCAUCCUUCUCCAAAAACAACGUUAAUUCUGCCAACUUUAAACGAUCGAUGGUUUCCGGUACGUUUACCGUGAAAGUAAACGGUUUUUUUUUUAUUUAAGACAUGAUGUAACAUCGAUGAAGCUGAGUUGCAAGAAAUUAUUUCUGUAGCGAAGUGGAUGAGAAAGCGAAAAUUACAAAAAUGGCCUGAAACUAUUCCCGGAGGACGCUGAAGGACAGAAAGAAAAUAUUUUUCUGAUCGGUCUAUAAAUUUUUCAUUAUCAAUAUCGGUUACCCAAAACAUUCAUGAUUACAUACUAGAGACGAAUGAAAAGGAAGGAUUGUCCGAAACUACUAUGAUAAACAUUGAAGAUUGGACUCGCAGCACAGUAAAUUUUUGACGCACAUCAUAGUGGAUUAUUAUAUUGCUAACGAAUGCUACAUCUCACUUGUCGAUAUGAUCAAAUUUGUGCAGUACAUCGCUGAUCGGUUUUCUCCAAAACUAGUCGUAAAAAGCUCAACAAGUUAACUUCUUAACAUAAUCAUUACCUCGUUAUAACCCUUGAGAAUGCAAGAUAGGAAAAAAGCAUUCCUCUGGACUUCUAUAUGAUCACUUCCACAAAAAACACUCUCUGUUGGAAAGACAAUCAUUUCAACGAACUGAUACCGAUUAUUGGAAAGUUCUGUCACAUUUAUUUAUGUUGAAUAAAUAUACCGGCUGAAUCACCAAGACUGUCCGACGAAAAUGGAUACCUUUUGAUUGACGUGAAUAUUGAUGCUAUUCAUGGAAAACUACAUAAAGUUAUCUUCGACACAUGGAAAGGAUUUAUUCAACAAUUCCAAUUUCAGCAAUCCCUGUUGAACCAUCUAGAGGAAACAUUUAUUGCUUGAGGUAGAACAAUACAAGAAUCCCAUUCUCUAUAAACAUCUGAUCAAUUUAAGGCCCCUCGAUUUACCUUAUUGCGCAUUAUUAAAUUUAAAGAGUAAGUUACUAUAUACGAACUAGGUCAAGUUUUGACAAAGUCUAAUUGUCUACUCGCUUGUUAGUAAUGGCAGAUAGCAGAAUAUUCAAGUCAUUUCGUAUCAUUUAGAGUAAAAGAAGAACAGCAAAUG